rnacentral:misc_RNA from 1 species
GUCGUAACAAGGUAGCCGUAUCGGAAGGUGCGGCUGGAUCACCUCCUUUCAGAGCUUACGUGCUCGUGUUAAGCGUCCACUCUUAUCGGUUGUUUGAUAUAGCUGGGAUCAGUUGUAGGCUUGGGUCGAGGGAAUCUUCCCUAGGCCUUCAGCUUCCUGACUACUGAUCCGAGAAGGUUUUGGGUCUGUAGCUCAGUCGGUUAGAGCACCGUCUUGAUAAGGCGGGGGUCGUUGGUUCGAAUCCAACCAGACCCACCAGGUAUUUCGCGGCAAGCGAAAUAUGGGGGUGUAGCUCAGCUGGGAGAGCGCCUGCUUUGCAAGCAGGAUGUCAUCGGUUCGAUCCCGUUCACCUCCACCAUUGAUUCUCAUUGAUCGCCGGUGGCGAUGUAGAGGCCAACUCAUAGUGUCGUCAGUCACGACGUUAUGAGUUGGGUUUUACCCAACAGCUAUAUUUGUUCUUUAACAAUCUGGAAGAAGCACAACGAAAAUGUGUUCAUCAAGUAAUCAGCAUUGCUGAUGAAGAUGGGCACGGGUUGUGAUUGCAUUAUUUUUUGUUCCAAGUUCUCAAGACUGGGGUGCAAACCUCAGACUGCUUUGAAACUUAUGAACGGCACAAACGCUAAUACUCAGGUCCUAUAGCCUACAGCGUUAUAGGAUCAAGCGACUAAGUGCAUAUGGUGGAUGCCUUGGC